rnacentral:rRNA from 1 species
UUGACCUCGAAUCAGGUAGGAAUACCCGCUGAACUUAAGCAUAUCAAUAAGCGGAGGAAAAGAAACCAACCGGGAUUACCUCAGUAACGGCGAGUGAAGCGGUAACAGCUCAAAUUUGAAAUCUGGCUCCUUCGGAGUCCGAGUUGUAAUUUGUAGAAGAUGCUUUGGGUUGUGGGCUCGGCCUAAGUUCCUUGGAACAGGACGUCAUAGAGGGUGAGAAUCCCGUAUGUGGCCAUGGCCCGCGCCUAUGUAAAGCUCUUUCGACGAGUCGAGUUGUUUGGGAAUGCAGCUCAAAAUGGGUGGUAAAUUUCAUCUAAAGCUAAAUAUGGGCCAGAGACCGAUAGCGCACAAGUAGAGUGAUCGAAAGAUGAAAAGCACUUUGGAAAGAGAGUUAAACAGUACGUGAAAUUGUUGAAAGGGAAGCGCUUGCAACCAGACUUGGGCGCUGCCGAUCACCCCGAGUUCUCUCGGGUGCACUCGACAGCGCACAGGCCAGCAUCGGUUCGGGUGGCUGGAUAAAGGCCGUAGGAAUGUAGCUCUCUUCGGGGAGUGUUAUAGCCCACGGUGCCAUGCAGCCCAGCCGGACCGAGGACCGCGCCUUCGGGCUAGGAUGCUGGCGUAAUGGUUGUAAGCGACCCGUCUUGAAACACGGACCAAGGAGUCUAACAUCUAUGCGAGUGUUUGGGCGUUAAACCCAUGCGCGGAAUGAAAGUGAACGUAGGUGAGAACCCCUUUGGGGCGCAUCAUCGACCGAUCC